CCUACGGGAGGCAGCAGUGAGGAAUAUUGGUCAAUGGCCGCAAGGCUGAACCAGCCAAGUCGCGUGAAGGAAGAAGGACCUAUGGUUUGUAAACUUCUUUUAUAGGGGAAUAAAGGUAUCCACGUGUGGAUUUUUGCAUGUACGCUAUGAAUAAGCAUCGGCUAACUCCGUGCCAGCAGCCGCGGUAAUACGGAGGAUGCGAGCGUUAUCCGGAUUGAUUGGGUUUAAAGGGCGCGUAGGUGGUUUGUUAAGUCAGCUGUGAAAGUUUGUGGCUCAACCAUAAAAUUGCAGUUGAUACUGGCAGUCUUGAGUGUGGUAGAGGUAGGUGGAAUGCGAGGUGUAGCGGUGAAAUGCGUAGAUAUCACGAAGAACUCCGAUUGCGAAGGUAGCUUACUAAGCCAUAACUGACACUGAAGCACGAAAGCGUGGGGAUCAAACAGGAUUAGAUACCCGGGUAGUC
rnacentral:rRNA from 1 species